rnacentral:rRNA from 1 species
UCUGAAGAAGCGUCUUCUGUGUUGGACCGUGUACAAGUCUCUUGGAACAGGGCGUCAUAGAGGGUGAGAAUCCCGUCUUUGACACGGACUACCAAUGCUUUGUGAUGCGCUCUCAAA